UGGCAGUGGAAACUGAAAGGCUUGAGUAUGGUAGGGGCAGAGGGAAUUCCCGGUGUAGCGGUGAAAUGCGUAGAUAUCGGGAAGAACACCAGUGGCGAAGGCGCUCUGCUGGGCCAUUACUGACGCUCAUGGACGAAAGCCAGGGGAGCGAAAGGGAUUAGAUACCCCUGUAGUCCUGGCCGUAAACGAUGAACACUAGGUGUCGGGGGAAUCGACCCCUUCGGUGUCGUAGCUAACGCGUUAAGUGUUCCGCCUGGGGAGUACGCACGCAAGUGUGAAACUCAAAGGAAUUGACGGGGGCCCGCACAAGCGGUGGAGUAUGUGGUUUAAUUCGAUGCAACGCGAAGAACCUUACCAGGGUUUGACAUCCUGCGAACCUCUUAGAAAUUUGAGGGUGCCUUCGGGAAUGCAGUGACAGGUGGUGCAUGGCUGUCGUCAGCUCGUGUCGUGAGAUGUUGGGUUAAGUCCCGCAACGAGCGCAACCCACGUUUUUAGUUGCCAGCAUUUAGUUGGGCACUCUAGAAAGACCGCCGGUGAUAAACCGGAGGAAGGUGUGGAUGACGUCAAGUCAUCAUGCCCCUUACACCCUGGGCUACACACGUACUACAAUGCUACGGACAAAGGGCAGCAAACUCGCGAGAGCUAGCAAAUCCCAUAAACCGUGGCUCAGUUCAGAUCGUAGGCUGCAACUCGCCUACGUGAAGUAGGAAUCGCUAGUAAUCGCAGGUCAGCAUACUGCGGUGAAUACGUUCCCGGGCCUUGUACACACCGCCCGUCACACCAUGGAAGUUGGCCAUGCCCGAAGUCGUUACUCCAACCCUUGUGGAGGAGGACGCCGAAGGUGGGGCUAAUGACUGGGGUGAAGUCGUAACAAGGUAACCGUA
rnacentral:rRNA from 1 species